rfam:Hordeum vulgare subsp. vulgare, WGS project CAJW01000000 data, contig: morex_contig_2501873
AUAAUACUCCCUUCAUCUCAAAAUUCUUGUCUUAGGUUUGUCUAAAAAUAAAUGUACCUAAAUACUAAAACAUGACUAGAUACAUUUAUAUUUAGACAAAUCUAAGACAAGAAUAUUGGGACGUAGGGAGUACUAG